rnacentral:rRNA from 1 species
GAGUUUGAUCGUGGCUCAGAGCGAACGCUGGCGGCAGGCCUAACACAUGCAAGUCGAGCGCGAAAAGUUCUUCGGAACUGAGUAGAGCGGCGGACGGGUGAGUAACGCGUAGGAAUCUGUCCGGUAGUGGGGGAUAACGUUCCGAAAGGAACGCUAAUACCGCAUACGCCCCACGGGGGAAAGAGGGGGACUCGCAAGAGCCUCUCGCUAUCGGAGGAGCCUGCGUCGGAUUAGCUAGUUGGUAGGGUAAAGGCCUACCAAGGCGGCGAUCCGUAGCUGGUCUGAGAGGAUGAUCAGCCACACCGGAACUGAGACACGGUCCGGACUCCUACGGGAGGCAGCAGUGGGGAAUAUUGCGCAAUGGGGGCAACCCUGACGCAGCCAUGCCGCGUGUGUGAAGAAGGCCUGGU